rnacentral:rRNA from 2 species
CCAAUAGCGUAUAUUAAAGUUGUUGCAGUUAAAAAGCUCGUAGUUGAACUUCAGGCCUGUCCAGAUGGUCCGCCUUAAUUGGUGUGUACUGUCCUUGGGUGGGUCCUACCUUCUGGCGAAGCGGCAUGGCCUUAAUUGGUUGUGUCGGGGAAGCAGGACUUUUACUGUGAAAAAAUUAGAGUGUUCAAAGCAGGCAUAAU